rnacentral:rRNA from 1 species
UGAGGGAUAUUGGUCAAUGGGGGAAACCCUGAACCAGCAACGCCGCGUGAGGGAAGACGGUUUUCGGAUUGUAAACCUCUGUCCUCUGUGAAGAUAAUGACGGUAGCAGAGGAGGAAGCUCCGGCUAACUACGUGCCAGCAGCCGCGGUAAUACGUAGGGAGCAAGCGUUGUCCGGAUUUACUGGGUGUAAAGGGUGCGUAGGCGGGCUUGCAAGUCAGAAGUGAAAUCUAUGGGCUUAACCCAUAAACUGCUUUUGAAACUGUAAGUCUUGAGUGAAGUAGAGGUAGGCGGAAUUCCCGGUG